rnacentral:misc_RNA from 1 species
AAAUCUUCAAAGUAAACCUUUUGUUAACUCAAUUGGUUCCUUACUUUGGUAUUGGAGGUCUUUGCAGCUUCACACCUGCUCCUCUUUGUUCAUUAGCUGGAUCUCAGUGUUAUGCUUGGUUCCACUCGGCGUGAUAAGUAUCUAUCGCUGAGGACACUUGUAAAAAGGUGGCCAAGGUAAAUGCAGAUGAACCGCUUCCAACAGUCCAUUGACUUGGACAAAUAAUUUUUAUG